rnacentral:rRNA from 1 species
UACGUAGGGUGCGAGCGUUGUCCGGAAUUAUUGGGCGUAAAGAGCUCGUAGGCGGUCUGUCGCGUCGGUCGUGAAAACUUGGGGCUUAACCCUGAGCUUGCGGUCGAUACGGGCAUGACUGGAGUUCGGCAGGGGAGACUGGAAUUCCUGGUGUAGCGGUGAAAUGCGCAGAUAUCAGGAGGAACACCGAUGGCGAAGGCAGGUCUCUGGGCCACUACUGGCGCUGAGAAGCGAAAGCAUGGGGAGCGAACAGG